GGAGGUGCGUGUCAGUGAUGGCACAGCUGAACAUCGAUCGCUUCGUGUCGUUUAGCUGAUCUGCUCAGUUACGUGCAGUCACCGCGUGUCUAUUCAGUUACCAUUGGAAGCGGCCGAUGCCGAGUGUCGCACGGUCAGCGUUCGAUGGCAAUGGAAACGUCCGCCAUUUUCCAAAUUUGGGGGUCACGGAUGGGUUGUAUUUAUUCAGAACACCUCCAUAUGGGCACUGCAGUUCUGGCAGUUUGCCAUUGUUUUG
rnacentral:snRNA from 14 species